rnacentral:Y_RNA from 1 species
GGUUGGUCUGAGUGCAGUGGUAUUUACAACUAAUUGAUCACAACCAGUUACAGAUUCCUUUAUUCCUUCUCCACUCCCACUGCUUCACUUGACCAGCCUUUA